GGCAAGACCGGUGCCAGCCGCCGCGGUAACACCGGCGGCUCGAGUGGUAACCGUUAUUAUUGGGUCUAAAGGGUCUGUAGCCGGCCGGAUAAGUCUCUUGAGAAAUCUGGCAGCUUAACUGUCAGGCUUUUCAGGAGAUACUGUCUGGCUCGAGGCCGGGAGAGGUGAGAGGUACUUCAGGGGUAGGGGUGAAAUCUUGUAAUCCUUGAAGGACCACCAGUGGCGAAGGCGUCUCACCAGAACGGACCUGACGGCAAGGGACGAAAAGCUAGGGGCACGAACCGGAUUAGAUACCCGGGUAGUCCUAGCCGUAAACGAUACUCGCUAGGUGUCGGCCACGGUGCGACCGUUGUCGGUGCCGUAGGGAAGCCGUGAAGCGAGCCACCUGGGAAGUACGGCCGCAAGGCUGAAAC
rnacentral:rRNA from 1 species